UUCUGAUUUUUAUUAUUAAAUAAUAAAAUGGAAAAAAUUAAUGAAGUUCUGUUGGACUCUGUAACAACUAAGUUGAAAAAAGUAAACAAGAAAUAACAAGGCAGAAUUUACACUAUUUCUUAUUGGAAACAAGAUGGAACUGAUAUUGAACUGUCAAAAGAUAAAAAACUCCAGCUAGUUGCUGUUGUUAUAUCAGGGAAGUUUGAAUUUUCUUAAUUGGAAUAUGAAAUUAAUGUAAAAAUGCUCACAGUAUAGCAAGUUUUGU